UACAGAGGUCCCAAGCGUUGUUCGGAUUCACUGGGCGUAAAGGGUGCGUAGGUGGUUAGGUAAGUCCGAUGUGAAAUCUCCAGGCUCAACCUGGAAAUGGCAUUGGAUACUAUUUAGCUUGAGGAGUGGAGGGGGGACUGGAAUUCUCGGUGUAGCAGUGAAAUGCGUAGAUAUCGAGAGGAACACCAGUGGCGAAGGCGAGUCCCUGGACAGUUCCUGACACUGAGGCACGAAAGCUAGAGGAGCAAACAGG
rnacentral:rRNA from 1 species